rnacentral:rRNA from 1 species
AUUGAACGCUGGCGGCAGGCCUAACACAUGCAAGUCGAGCGAGCGGCGGACGGGUGAGUAAUGUAUGGGGACUGCCCGCUAGAGGGGGAUAACUACUUGAAACGGUAGCUAAUACCGCAUACUAUCGGAUAACCCAUAUGGGAUUAGCUAGUGGGUGAGUUAAUGGCUCACCUAGGCGACGAUCCCUAGCUGGUCUGAGAGGAUGAUGAGCCACACUGGGACUGGGAAACGGCCCAGACCCCUACGGAGGAGGCGGUGGGGAAUAUUGCACAAUGGGCGCAAGCCUGAUGCAGCAAGGCCGCGUGGAUGAAGAAGGCCCUAGGGUUGUAAAGUACUUUCAGUCGGGAGGCGUUACCGACAGAAGAAGCACCGGCUAACUCCGUGCCAGCCGCCGCGGUAAUUC